rnacentral:rRNA from 1 species
GCUUAUGCGUUGCUGGGUAGGGGAGCGUUCUGUAAGCCUGCGAAGGUGGCCUGUGAGGGUUGCUGGAGGUAUCAGAAGUGCGAAUGCUGACAUAAGUAACGAUAAAGCGGGUGAAAAGCCCGCUCGCCGGAAGACCAAGGGUUCCUGUCCAACGUUAAUCGGGGCAGGGUGAGUCGACCCCUAAGGCGAGGCCGAAAGGCGUAGUCGAUGGGAAACGGGUUAAUAUUCCCGUACUUGGUGUUACUGCGAAGGGGGGACGGAGAAGGCUAUGUUGGCCGGGCGACGGUUGUCCCGGUUUAAGCGUGUAGGUGUGUGUUCCAGGUAAAUCCGGUUCACUUUAACACUGAGGCGUGACGACGAGGCACUACGGUGCUGAAGCAACAAAUGCCCUGCUUCCAGGAAAAGCCUCUAAGCAUCAGGUAACAUCAAAUCGUACCCCAAACCGACACAGGUGGUCAGGUAGAGAAUACCAAGGCGCUUGAGAGAACUCGGGUGAAGGAACUAGGCAAAAUGGUGCCGUAACUUCGGGAGAAGGCACGCUGACACGUAGGUGAAGUGAUUUACUCAUGGAGCUGAAGUCAGUCGAAGAUACCAGCUGGCUGCAACUGUUUAUUAAAAACACAGCACUGUGCAAACACGAAAGUGGACGUAUACGGUGUGACGCCUGCCCGGUGCCGGAAGGUUAAUUGAUGGGGUCAGCGCAAGCGAAGCUCCUGAUCGAAGCCCCGGUAAACGGCGGCCGUAACUAUAACGGUCCUAAGGUAGCGAAAUUCCUUGUCGGGUAAGUUCCGACCUGCACGAAUGGCGUAAUGAUGGCCAGGCUGUCUCCACCCGAGACUCAGUGAAAUUGAACUCGCUGUGAAGAUGCAGUGUACCCGCGGCAAGACGGAAAGACCCCGUGAACCUUUACUAUAGCUUGACACUGAACACUGGUCCUUGAUGUGUAGGAUAGGUGGGAGGCUUUGAAGUGUGGACGCCAGUCUGCAUGGAGCCAUCCUUGAAAUACCACCCUUUAAUGGCUGGUGUUCUAACGUAGACCCGUAAUCCGGGUUGCGGACAGUGUCUGGUGGGUAGUUUGACUGGGGCGGUCUCCUCCUAAAGAGUAACGGAGGAGCACGAAGGUUGGCUAAUCCUGGUCGGACAUCAGGAGGUUAGUGCAAUGGCAUAAGCCAGCUUGACUGCGAGCGUGACGGCGCGAGCAGGUGCGAAAGCAGGUCAUAGUGAUCCGGUGGUUCUGAAUGGAAGGGCCAUCGCUCAACGGAUAAAAGGUACUCCGGGGAUAACAGGCUGAUACCGCCCAAGAGUUCAUAUCGACGGCGGUGUUUGGCACCUCGAUGUCGGCUCAUCACAUCCUGGGGCUGAAGUAGGUCCCAAGGGUAUGGCUGUUCGCCAUUUAAAGUGGUACGCGAGCUGGGUUUAGAACGUCGUGAGACAGUUCGGUCCCUAUCUGCCGUGGGCGCUGGAGAACUGAGGGGGGCUGCUCCUAGUACGAGAGGACCGGAGUGGACGCAUCACUGGUGUUCGGGUUGUCAUGCCAAUGGCACUGCCCGGUAGCUAAAUGCGGAAGAGAUAAGUGCUGAAAGCAUCUAAGCACGAAACUUGCCCCGAGAUGAGUUCUCCCUGAGACUUAGAGUCUCCUGAAGGAACGUUGAAGACGACGACGUUGAUAGGCCGGGUGUGUAAGCGCAGCGAUGCGUUGAGCUAACCGGUACUAAUGAACCGUGAGGCUUAACC